UACGUAGGGGGCAAGCGUUGUCCGGAUUUAUUGGGCGUAAAGAGCUCGUAGGUGGUUCGGUAAGUCGGAUGCGAAAUCUCCAGGCUCAACCUGGAGGGGUCAUUCGAUACUGCCGUGACUAGAGUUCGGUAGGGGAGUGUGGAAUUCCUGGUGGAGCGGUGAAAUGCGCAGAUAUCAGGAGGAACACCCGUAGCGAAGGCGGCACUCUGGGCCGAUACUGACACUGAGGAGCGAAAGCGUGGGGAGCGAACAGG
rnacentral:rRNA from 1 species